UAACACUAAAAUAUAUAUGGGAUUUGAUUGAAAUCGUCCACCGUUUCAUGGCGGCUCAAUAAUUGAGAUGAUGAACUGUGGCAGAAGAUAUCAUUGAAAUCAUUGGAGGAAGUGCAAAAGUCAGGGAAUGGAGGGAGGCUAACAUGGGCAUGCAAGAUAUCAGGAGAAGGGAGAACAGUGGCAGCAGCGUGACAACGUGCUAGACGGUCCUUAGCAAUGGCGAGAUCAUGUUGAAGCUCCACCAUCUUCCUCUGCAAGAGAGCUAUGGCACCAAUGCAUCCAUAAACAGGGUCUCUCAGCCUUGCCUCAGCCUCAUAUGCC
rnacentral:lncRNA from 1 species